UGAACUCGUAGCUCAGUGGUAGAGCAGUGUCCUAAUAAGGCAUUGGUCGCUGGAUCAAUCCCAGCCGGGUUCAA
rnacentral:tRNA from 1 species